rnacentral:pre_miRNA from 1 species
UCUUAUGGAUGAGCAAAGAAAGUGGCUUCUUGAGAUGGAAUCUACCCCCGGUGAAGAUACUGUGAA